AAGGAAUAUUGCUCAAUGGGAGAAAUCCUGAAGCAGCAACGCCGCGUGGAGGAUGAAGGGUCUAUGACUUGUAAACUCCUGUAAAGAAGGAAAAAAUUCCCAUUAGAUGGGAGAUGAUGGUACUUCUGGAGUAAGCCCCGGCUAACUACGUGCCAGCAGCCGCGGUAAUACGUAGGGGGCAAGCGUUGUCCGGAUUUACUGGGUGUAAAGGGUGCUCAGGCGGAUUUGUAAGUCAGAGGUGAAAUCUUACAGCUUAACUGUGAAACUGCCUUUGAUACUGCAAGCCUAGAGUAUGGAAGAGAGUGAUUGAAUAUCUGGUGUAGCAGUGAAAUGCGUAGAUAUCAGAUAGAACACCAAUGGCGAAGGCAGUCACUUGGUCCAUUACUGACGCUAAAGCACGAAAGCGUGGGUAGCAAACA
rnacentral:rRNA from 1 species